UACAUUUGCAAAGAUUUUGGUUUUGAUGUAAGAUUUGUUUUGCAUUAAAUUAAAAGGGAAUCUGGUUUAAAGCCAGAACUGUACCCGCAACUGUAAGUUUAUGCUGAUUUUUUAUCAGCACCUUUUUAAAAGGAUGUUAUUAAUUCUUAUGCCACUGACAUUUUAAGUUGGGAAGGUCUAAUAACAUAGAAACGAGUCAGGAGACCUGCCUUAAUCAUAAUUUUAAU
rnacentral:ncRNA from 1 species